AUAAUCGGCUCAGUCAUUUUUAAUGAUCGUUGAAAACCCAGAUCGUAAUCGAGAUUAAAAUUCGAUUAAUUGAGCAGCCCUACCACUAUGCAUCAGAGGGUUAAUUACAUCAAUGUGAAUUUUGUGGUUUGUUUUGUUCGACAAAGUAUCGAGUCAGGUGUUGUACUUGGUUUUUCAUAGGACAGCACAGAGUUCUGUGAAAAGUUUCUUUCUCACAUGAGCUAGAGCUAAAGCAAAAAACUUCAGGCCCAUAAAUGUUUUAAAAAGUGAAUAAAUAAUAUUAUACAAUAGUCAGGAUGAACUGUAGCACAUAAACAUUUGAUGAUAGACUAUAAAUAUUUGACUUUUAUUUGACGUGUAUUAUGUUUAUCCUAUAGACCAGAAACACUUCAUCAUUUGAAUGACAAACUAAGGAAAAAUAAGAAAGAAGUACUGUGUCAGACUAAAAGAGUUGACUUUAGACUUAACUUGCUGUCGUCUGAUCUUCAAGCUUACUGUAUACCCAUAAGGGUGGUAUUUAUGUUUUUAAUUACAUUUUUGAAAAAACAAAAAGGAAAACAAAAAUAAAUAAAUUUCCCUUAAUGAUAUAAGCAGUAAAUGACACUAUAAAUUUAACUGAUCUUACUUACUGGAUAUUGUAUGUUUCUGUCAUGAGUCAUACUCUGAGUGCGUGCACCGUGACGGCUUCACUCCGUCAGUUAUUAAGAGUGCAAGCCUGGGAAUGCUGGGCACCCCGUGGCUGGAAUAAGAGAGCUGCACACUGAAGUGGGAAAUGGCAGAUAUAGGCUGGUGGUGAGGAAAGUCCAGGACUGCCAGUGUGUGUUCAGAUACCUCAGACUUUCACAAUGGAUGCCAUAAAAUGUGGAGGAUUCUCGAAGGUGAAAGACGCUGAUGAGGAAAUUCAGACAAUCUGUGAUGAGCUUCCAUGUUAUGGAGGAGAAGCUGUAGUUACUGGUGUGGAAGACCAUCAUGACAAAGAUCCCAUCCAACCUUUUUAAUGAAUCACACUUUGUAUUUCAGCUGCUCUCUGUUAUAGGUUAUAAUCAAUAUAUUAAAAAUCUUUAUUUCUAGACUUAUAUAACUGACUUGAGUUCAUCAUUUGAAGCAUUAAAAGUUGAAUUCUGUAAAAAACUAAAUGAUUGUGAUCGUUGAUUUCUUGCUAGUUAUUAACUUUUACCAUUGCAUUUACCAUCAUUGCAGCUACUGAUGAUUUUUUGAUUUUCAUAUUUGCUUCAUCUAUAAUAACUGUAAGGUUAACAGUACUCUUGUCUGAAUUAUCUCUGUGUGUAUGUGUGUGAUGGAAGACUCUAACAGAGUCCCAAAAGUCCAACACAUGUUAUCCUGUUUUUAGAGACAUAAUUUGUGCAGCAUAUACAGAAUCUAACCAAACAUUAGAUGAUUAUUCAGGCUACUAAUCUCUCUAAUUUAUUGUGUUCUACAAUGAUGGACAUGGUCGUCCAUACAGAAGAUAAUCAGUAUUAAGAUGUCAGUCACAGCUGAAUUUCUUUUUAAUCUUGCAUUAGUCCCACUUGUCCAGCAGAUGUCCUCGUUAUGUCUCCUGCACAUCUUGAUUGUUUGUAGGUCUCAACCAUGCUUUGACCAGAUCAUUCAGCCUUCCUUCAUUUAUUUAAAUGUAUUAACUAUUUAAUCUGGUAGACCAUCUUGUAGUGGCCUUCAACACGUCUUUUUCAGAUGUUUGUCUGUACUGCUCUUUUUUUUCUUUAGCUUGUGUCACUUUGUGGCUGUAUCUUCAUUUCCCUGUUUUAAUUUUGAUGCUGUUUGCAGUCAUUAAAAUCUCCUUUUUGUUUUUUUUAAUUUUUUGCAUCUAACAUUUCCAGCUCUAAAUGUUAACUAGAAGAGAGUAAUAAUAAGGCAGAGCCCCCUGAAACUCUCUCAAAAGUAUAUGAAGAGAAGAUUCCCCCUGGUGGAAAAAAACCAAACAAAACAAAAAUGAAAAAAACCCAACAACAACUAGGGAACAGUAAAAUCUAAUAUCUACAGCCUUGAACAACAAAUAAUAGUAAGAAAAUAAUAUCUAAACCACAGAGAGGAGUAUACACUAGAGCAGGAGUGUCAAACUCCAGGCCUCGAGGGCCGGUGUCCUGCAAGUUUUAAAUAUCACCCUGGGUCAGCACACCUGAAACAAAUCAUUAGUUCAGUACCAGGCUACUGGAGAACUUCAAGACAUAUUGAGGAGGUAAUUUAGCCAUUUAAACCAGCUCUGAUGGAUCAAGGACACAUCUAAAACCUGCAGGACACCGGCCCUCGAGGCCUGGAGUUCGACACCUGUGCACUAAAUGUAGGUGGAUCGAUACCAACUCUAGUAUUGGUAUCUGAUCGAUGCUAGCUCGUUAGGAUCGAUACUUUGUUUCUAUCCCCUUAAGUUUAGUAGGUAUAAUUGUAUUAAAUAAAUAAAGUUUUGGGAAAUUUGGAUUUCAAUCACAGCUCACACCCUGUAUUUUCACUUCCCGGCAGACUCGAGAGUAUUUUGUCACACGCUCCGACAAACCCACACAUGCGGUAAAAAUGUGGGCAAAAGUGAUUAUUUUCUUGUGCUAGUCUAAGUGUGCUUGUUUUUUUUGUUUUUUUUACCAUCCCCCUUCUUCUUGAGCUGAUGGUACGGUCCAAAAUGUGGUCAUAUGACUCGCUGUUGUGUUAUUUGUUUUUUUACAUGAUCGUUUACAAAUACCGUACGAACAAAUACCCCUCUUCCCCUGCGCUGGUCUACAAUGCAGAGUCUUGUGAAUUGAUGUGUGUUUAUUAGCUUUUUGGUCGUUUUUUACCAACAAAAUGUUG